GGUCUCCCAGCGUUAUCCAGCCCCAGGAGGCUGUGGCUUUAACAGUAAAUGGAAAGUACUAGAAUGGUAGUGGUGAACUAUAAGUUCCCUUAUGGGCAGCUUUUUAAAUCAUCUGUUUAUUUGUCUACAGACAGGGUCUCGCAUAGCCCAGGCUUAACUUGCUAUAUGGCUGAGGGUGGUCAGGAACUUCCUGAUCUUCCUACCUCCCCCUUCCAAGAGAAGGAAUUUCAGGUUUGUUCCACCAGGCUUGGAUUUGUGAGGUGGCUGGGAUGAAACGUGGGGCUUCCUGCAUGCUAGGCAAGCGCUCUGCCAACAGAGCUACAUCCCUAGGUUUUAGUUGCUUGUCUGAUUGUCUAUUUUGUGUCGCUUUAGGUUUCAUUCUUUCUCCCCUAAGGAAAUCCAUUCCCAGGAACAUUAUGGAAAAGACAACAAUAUAAGCUGCCGCUGCAGGUUUUAUAGUUCCCAGCGAUAUAUUCCUGAGGCUUUAAUUAGAAGCUCAAAGUGACGCUGGAGUGAGGGCGCAGAGGAAGUCCUGGAUUGGAGGGGGGAAAAAAGCAUCGUCCAGAGAUCAACCAAGAAAGUGAGUCGGUAAUCUGUAUUCCUACAUGGCUUCUGCCUUGACUUCCUGCCUUCCGUCAAUCUGGAAGAGAAUGCCAAAUAAACCUUUUCCAAGCUGCAGUUUAGGCAACAGUGUUUCAUUGCUGCAACAGAACGAAACUAAAAUUCAGUUCUUAGCCCACAUCUGGUAGCGCCCAAGUCCAGCGCUGGUGUGUAUCCAGCUCCCCCGUCUGGCUUCU
rnacentral:lncRNA from 1 species